AUUGAACGCAGGCGGCAUGCCUUACACAUGCAAGUCGAACGGUAACAGGUCUUCGGAUGCUGACGAGUGGCGAACGGGUGAGUAAUACAUCGGAACGUGCCUAGUAGUGGGGGAUAACUACUCGAAGGAGUGGCUAAUACCGCAUGAGAUCUACGGAUGAAAGCAGGGGAUCGCAAGACCUUGUGCUACUAGAGCGGCCGAUGGCAGAUUAGGUAGUUGGUGGGAUAAAAGCUUACCAAGCCGACGAUCUGUAGCUGGUCUGAGAGGACGAUCAGCCACACUGGGGCUGAGACACGGCCCAGACUCCUACGGGAGGCAGCAGUGGGGAAUUUUGGACAAUGGGCGCAAGCCUGAUCCAGCAAUGCCGCGUGCAGGAUGAAGGCCUUCGGGUUGUAAACUGCUUUUGUACGGAACGAAAAGCCCUGGGUUAAUACCCUGGGGUCAUGACGGUACCGUAAGAAUAAGCACCGGCUAACUACGUGCCAGCAGCCGCGGUAACAC
rnacentral:rRNA from 1 species